GGGUCAGUAGGUUGGUCGUGCCACCGGUACGUACUGGUCUCACUGAUUCCUCCUCCCUGAAGAACCGUAAUGCCAUUAUUUUGGUGUUGCGGGGAAACAGGACUGUUACUUUGAAAAAAUUAGAGUGUUUAAAGCAAGCUAGCGCUUGAAUACAUUAGCAUGGAAUAAUGAAAUAGGACGAUCGAUCCUAUUUUGUUGGUUUCUAGGAUUGACGUA
rnacentral:rRNA from 1 species